rnacentral:rRNA from 1 species
GACGAACGCUGGCGGCGUGCUUAACACAUGCAAGUCGAACGAUGAAGCCGGAGCUUGCUCUGGUGAAUUAGUGGCGAACGGGUGAGUAACACGUGAGUAACCUGCCCUUGACUCUGGGAUAACUGCUAGAAAUGGUAGCUAAUACCGGAUACGACCCUCGGAGGCAUCUCCAGGGGGUGGAAAGAAUUUCGGUCAAGGAUGGACUCGCGGCCUAUCAGCUAGUUGGUGAGGUAACGGCUCACCAAGGCGACGACGGGUAGCCGGCCUGAGAGGGCGACCGGCCACACUGGGACUGAGACACGGCCCAGACUCCUACGGGAGGCAGCAGUGGGGAAUAUUGCACAAUGGGCGCAAGCCUGAUGCAGCAACGCCGCGUGAGGGAUGACGGCCUUCGGGUUGUAAAGCUCUUUCAGUGGGGAAGAUAAUGACGGUACCCACAGAAGAAGCCCCGGCUAACUUCGUGCCAGCAGCCGCCGUAA